GACGAACGCUGGCGGCGUGCUUAACACAUGCAAGUCGUACGGUAAGGCCCUUUCGGGGUUACACGAGUGGCGAACGGGUGAGUAACACGUGAGUAACCUGCCCACAACCUUGGGAUAACGCUAGGAAACUGGUGCUAAUACUGGAUAUGUGCUUCUGCUGCCUGGUGGGGGUUGGAAAGCUCCGGCGGUGGUGGAUGGACUCGCGGCCUAUCUGCUUGUUGGUGGGGUAGUGGCCUACCAAGGCGGCGACGGGGAGCCGGCCUGGGAGGGUGACCGGCCACAGUGGGACUGAGAUACGGCCCAGACUCCUACGGGAGGCAGCAGUGGGGAAUAUUGCACAAGGAGCGCAAGCCUGAUGCAGAAACGCCGCGUGCGGGAUGACGGCCUUCGGGUUGGAAACCGAUUUCAGCAGGGACGAAGCUUUUUGUGACGGUACCUGCAGAAGAAGCACCGGCUAACUACGUG
rnacentral:rRNA from 1 species